AACGAACGCUGGCGGCAGGCUUAACACAUGCAAGUCGAGCGCCCCGCAAGGGGAGCGGCAGACGGGUGAGUAACGCGUGGGAAUCUACCCAUCUCUACGGAAUAACGCAUGGAAACGUGUGCUAAUACCGUAUACGUCCUUCGGGGGAAAGAUUUAUCGGAGAUGGAUGAGCCCGCGUUGGAUUAGCUAGUUGGUGGGGUAAAGGCCUACCAAGGCGACGAUCCAUAGCUGGUCUGAGAGGAUGAUCAGCCACACUGGGACUGAGACACGGCCCAGACUGCUACGGGAGGCAGCAGUGGGGAAUAUUGGACAACGGGCGCAAGCCUGAUCCAGCCAUGCCGCGUGAGUGGUGAAGGCCCUAGGGUUGUAAAGCUCUUUCACCGGUGAAGAUAAUGACGGUAACCGGAGAAGAAGCCCCGGCUAACUUCGUGCCAGCCGCCGCGGUAAUAC
rnacentral:rRNA from 1 species